CGAUAUCGACGAGUUUGAUCCUGGCUCGAGGAUGAACGCUAGCGGCAGGCCUAAUACAUGCAAGUCAAGGGGAUAGCAAUAUCACCGGCGGACGGGUGCGUAACGCGUACACAACGUGCCCAAGGGCGGAGGAAAGCGGCGGGAAACUGCCGGUAAUACUCCAUGGUGUUGUUGAGUGGCAUCACUUAACAACUAAAGUACAAGCGCCCUUGGAUCGGUGUGCGUUCGAUUAGCUAGUUGGCGGGGUAACGGCCCACCAAGGCUUCGAUCGAUAGGGGGUGUGAGAGCAUGACCCCCCCACACGGGUACUGAGACACGGACCCGACUCCUACGGGAGGCAGCAGUAAGGAAUAUUGGACAAUGGGCGGAAGCCUGAUCCAGCCAUGCCGCGUGAAGGACGAAGGCGCUCAGCGUUGUAAACUUCUUUUUGGAUGGGAACAAUAACUCCGACUUGUCGGAACUUGAGGGUACCAUCAGAAUAAGCACCGGCUAACUCCGUG
rnacentral:rRNA from 1 species